AAAGCAAAACCGUUGUGAGAGGUGAGAGCUGGGCUUGAAGGUUGGAGGGAGUAGCGGAAGGUCCCAGUGAGCUGCAGGGGGUCUCUGUGAUGGAAAGGUGGCUUCCUCAGACAAGGAAGGUGCUGCGAAUGGGGGAAGACAGAAUCCAACAAAGAAAGAGACCACACACCCCACACGCACACAGGCACGUUCACACACACAUACACAGUCCACUUAGCCCAGCACUGCAGUCACUCACAGGGACACACUCAGUCUCAACCCUUCCAUCCCAUACACGGCCAGGGGCGUGGCUCAAAGGAAAUUGACUCAUGCCCUCCAAAGCCAUGGACGACAACAACUCCACACUGGCCUUUGUGUUCAUUCACAACCUCCCAACAGAGCAUACACAUGAACACACACAUGCACACAUACCCACACACGCACACAUACCCACACACACACACACACCACUCGCAUGCAUGGGAAGGGCACCCGUCUAGAAUCCAGGACUGGAUUCCGGAAUUCCUUGCUGCAUGGCCUCUCUGGGCCUUAAUUUUCCCCCCAUGUAAGCAUGUGGAUUGACCCAGAGAAGCACUAAAGGCCCAUUCUUGCUCUAUGUAUCUGUGACUUAAGAUCUGCCACCUGCCCCGAGGAUAUGCCAGGGAUGACCAGGACAGCUGCCACCAAGCCCCCAGGCUCAUCAUCAGUCAGCCUCUCAGACACACACACACACACACACCAUAUACCUCCUCACUGUGCUCCCCGAACACCUGCCCCCACAUCCAAUGUCAAAGCAAAAAUACACACAUGUGAGCAAACAUAAAGCUGUUCAGGCAAAGAGGGGAAAGACGCAGGGGUCCCCAAAGCCCUUCUUCACUUUGUGUCCCCUUGCUGCGAUCAUGGAGAGUUAAAGAGGCUUCCUUGGGAGAAGAGCUCUGCCACCAGGGCUUCCCCAGUGUCUUUGGGGGUCUGUGAAAAAGAGGAUCCUCUGAGGUUUACUGGGAGGGCUCAAGGCUGAGGGAAUGGAGAGGAAAAUUUUAGCAGUUCCAUCCCAGUGUAAGGACCAACCCCAAAAGUUAAACUUGCACCACAGACUAAAGGUCAAGGGCAUCCUGUGUUUCUCCCCUUUCUUCCCCAGAGUGACAAGGGCCAGUUCAGACUGACAGAAAUCCAACAGCUUUCCUGAGCUGGAAAUUUCAGAACAGUCUGCAAGUUACUCCCAGGUGACUGAAGGUCAAGGUGAGGCCCCCCUGCCUCUGCCUGCGAGUCUCCCCCGGUUUGCAUUUUUCUUGACACCGGCAUUUCCUGAGGUUGAGCUCUCUGGGGAGUUCUAGAGAAUGGCUAGUAAGGCUUUUUGAGCUUGCACAUCUCACCUGCCUUUCCUGUCUUUUGCCUGGGAAAGGAAAGUUAUUUUCCCAGGUCAGCAAGGGGCAGAACAUCGGCCAGCCCAGCCCAGAAGUACAGGGGGAGGUCAUGGGCCCUGGGGCAGAACAAUGGGAGACAAUUCAAGGUGUGGUAACAACAACCAAGUUGCCCUCAGUCUGGGCAGAAACUGAACUCUACCCCUCUCCCACCCCAAUCUUGCCCGCCAUCCCACCAGAUUCCAGACCUAAAGGGAUCAAGGAUGAGAGCGAAGGGAGAAGGGAGGGUCCCCAAGAAAACCGCACCCAAGCGAGCACUGUCUGAAGAGAAAAACUAGCUCCAGUUCUCCGAAUUCUGGCAGAGCGUCUGGGAAGGCGAUCAGUGCUUCUUUCCAUGGCGCAAGGCCUGGGUUCUGGGUGUGCUUGAAGAAAGCCACUGGGGUGUGGGGUGACAUCGCCAUGGCUGAGAAGGGGCUAGGGGGUCCGGAGGGAAGGAGCCAGGACCGGAACUGCAAGGGCGUUGCUGCCCAGGGGUGUGGAUGAUUGCUCAUGUCCAGCUCAGACCAGUUCAAGAAACUAACCUCCAUUUAUUUUCUUGGUGAGUCCUUUUUUUUUUUUUCAGACUGUUAACAGAAAAAAAAUUUUAAAAAGCAGAAAACUGAAAAAAAAAAUCCUGGUACAUGAAAUAAAGAUUUUUUUUUUUUAU
rnacentral:lncRNA from 10 species